rnacentral:rRNA from 1 species
AGUGAACGCUGGCGGUAGGCCUAACACAUGCAAGUCGAACGGCAGCACAGUAAGAGCUUGCUCUUACGGGUGGCGAGUGGCGGACGGGUGAGGAAUACAUCGGAAUCUACUUUUUCGUGGGGGAUAACGUAGGGAAACUUACGCUAAUACCGCAUACGACCUACGGGUGAAAGCAGGGGAUCUUCGGACCUUGCGCGAUUGAAUGAGCCGAUGUCGGAUUAGCUAGUUGGCGGGGUAAAGGCCCACCAAGGCGACGAUCCGUAGCUGGUCUGAGAGGAUGAUCAGCCACACUGGAACCGAGACACGGUCCAGACUCCUACGGGAGGCAGCAGUGGGGAAUAUUGGACAAUGGGCGCAAGCCUGAUCCAGCCAUACCACGUGGGUGAAGAAGGCCUUCGGGUUGUAAAGCCCUUUUGUUGGGAAAGAAAAGCAGCAGGUUAAUACCCCGCUGUUCUGACGGUACCCAAAGAAUAAGCACCGGCUAACUUCGUG